GCACUCUCUUCUACACUCGCGGCACUCACCCUCUCUCUCUAUAUCUCCCGAGAGUUCCAACAACCACCAUGAGUCCGUGGUCGUGAAGAAGACAGCCGAGCUUGUGCCGACGAGCUUGCAGUUUCUCUCUCCUAUACGAUAAAUUCUUCAACAGAGACGACACUUCCUCUGCCAUUUGAUGGGAAAGAAUUCAACUUCACUAAAGUUGGCAGGAAGAGUUGCUAAUCUAGUUUGAAGCAACUGAAGAUGAUCAAGUCCAGUUCUUCCCCAGUGCACCCAUUGAUGUCUAGAACUCUCCAAGUGUUGUUGCCAUAAAUGUAUGUACUCCCUUUCUUGUACUUCGUUUCCUAAAGAACUUAUAUUUGGAGGAAAGUUGCAGUAAGCUGGUCUUUGUUAGUCCCAUUGAAUAUGGGCAUGUUCUUUUGAUCCCA